AAAGAUUCAAACCUGUAACUUGAAGCAAUUCUUGAAACGCCCACUAAAGCUUCUCUUACGUCAAGGGGGUUCAACAAUCUAAAUAUAUAUACACAAACACAAUAGUUCUUUUACCUUAUUUGCACAGUGCAAUUUUCCGAAGAGGGGAAUUUAAGCGAGAUCAAGAAGAUUCAAUGGAAUAUCUUGAAUUUUAUAUUGAAUUGGUAGGUGGUGGUACAUGUAUCAAUUAAGUGAAUUUUUGUUCUGGUGGAUCAAUUCAAUAAAAGAAAAAAAGCUUUUCGAGUCGGUCAAAUCCCUUUCAUGGGGUUGAGGGAAGACCUUCCUGCCUUGUACUAUUGAAGUGGAUGGUUCAAACUCUAUCAGUUGUAUAGCAUCCCUUUUCCUUUCUCCUUCCCCUCACCGAUGUAAUUUAAAACCCCUUCAUUACAUUUAGCUUUACCCUGCAUACAUUUGUAUGAUAAGGGAGUGAGUACCCGGAAAUUAUUCUAAAUAAUCUAAAUAUUGGAGUAGGAAAAAGAAGCAAGACGUGUUUGUAUAGAUAGUUACACACAUCUACAAACGAAUUCAUGUAACACAGCUACUAGUAAUGGAGAUUUAUAUCUGUUUCAUGGCAUUGAAGUUUUUAUGUCAAAAUCAGGGAACCAGAAGAAAGUUGGACAUCUAUGGAAGCUACAAGGAGCAAAAGAGAGACUUCGUCUGGUGAAGGCUAAUCUAACAGAUGAAGGCAGCUUUGAUGAUGCUAUUAUGGGCUGUGAAGGUGUUUUUCAUACUGCCUCACCUGUCUUGGGGAAGGCUACUUUUGAUGUCACGGUAUCCAAAAUGUUUCCGUUUGUUUCAUUUUAUAUGACAAUAUUUGACUAAACACACUAGUCGGACAUUUCAAAACUUCUCAAAAUGAAAAGAUUACAAUAUCAAUUGAACGGAGGGAAUCACUUUCAAGUAACUAAUUGUCCAUGCUGCAGGUUGAAAUCUUGAAUCCGGCAGUUGAUGGUACCUUAAAUGUGUUAAGAUCCUGCAAGAAAAAUCCAAGACUGAGACGUGUGGUUUUGACCUCAUCUUCUUCAACAGUAAGGGUAAGAGAUGAGAUUGACCCUAACAUACCCUUGGAUGAAUCAUCUUGGAGCUCUGUUGAAUUCUGCAAAAAGUUCAAGGUAAACACAUAUAUUCUACUUACAUUCCGAUUUGAUAUCAUGGACUUGACGAGCACGAAGUUCAAAAUAUUGAUUUGACUUCUGUAAGUAAAAUAUUGAGGUGGUAAUUGAAAAGAUAGUAUCACAGAGAACAUACACCACCUUAAACUUCAAAAUUCAAAAUUUUCUUGAAUUUGGAUUCUUGAAAAUAGCAUCAACACUUAAACACUUCCCAAAAUAAGAAGAGUGAUAUCAAUUCGGAUGGUAAGUACAAAC
rnacentral:lncRNA from 1 species